CACAACAGUUAAAGCAAAGCCCAAGAUACAACUAAUUUAGCUAUUUGUAAUAUAUUGUGACAUAUUGCAUGGGCUCUUCAUGCUCUUAUUCUUUUAAUGUAGGGAAAAGGGAUAGAAACAAGAGCAGGGAAUCAGAAUGCUACAGUUGCUGGCUCUAGUGGUGUUUCCAUGGCACCAUCUGCAAGUUCAGACCUAGUGGCACUUCCAACCAUAGCUGAAGGAUCAAAGCCAACUACAGUUACAAACCUUCCUGGGAAGGAAGAGGAAAAUCACCAAUCCUAGUAUGGUGUUGCAGAUCCAGUGUCAUAUGGGCCAGCUGCAUCAGUAUCAUCAGGCCCAGCAACUUCAAGUAAGGACAUGAGAAAGAGAGAGAGAAAGAACGGAGUUGAUAUCACAACCUCUCCACAAUUUUCUUAUCUUGAAAUCCCUCCGCUCCCAAGUCCCUCCCAGCCAACCGUUAGGGUCAGAUCAACUCAGUACCAUUCCAAUGGAGAGGAGUACCAGGUGUCACUGGGGAAGCUUUAAUUACAGAAAAUUUGAAGACUAGGAGAAAUACCAGGAGUAUGAUGUCUUCCUCCAAUGACCCGUCUACAAAUCUAGGACAGUAGGAGUAUUUGGUGGCAUUUGUGUCUUUUUUGUGAGGCGGCUGCUGUUAUGUAAGAUGGUUUGCGUAGGACUGGUGGCAUUUGGUGUCUUUUUUUGUCAGGCAGUGGUUGUUCACAUAGCUGGUUUGCGUGGGACUCUUUUUGAUGUACUGGUUAGCACUUCAUCAAUGACUCUGAACCGCCUCUAAAUUAUGGUGAUUUGUUAAUGACAACACAAGUGUAUUUAAUCAGGUUUAUAUAUCUUAGUGUGGUUGUUUUUAUGUCAUUCCUCUUCUAGCAAGCACAAAUU